CUGAGUCUGGAUCUUAGCCCUAGUGGUUAAAUUUCCGCGUGCCUGAACCUUCUGGUUUCUCUUUCCCCUUGGCUCCUGGCUACUGCAGGGUGGACCCCAGAAAUGCACCUUUAACCUGCAGAUGGUACCAGCCCCACUAGUACCAGAAAACUAGGCAGACCAGGAGAACAAGAGGACUCCAGAAACAAAGCCAACAUUCGAACAAGAGGCCACAGAGUCAGGCCAUAUUGUAUAUGUGACAUACAUCCACAUAUUGGCAUUAGCAGCUGCCUGCUAACGUAGAAGAUUUAAAUAGAACCAGGAGUCUCCAAACAGAAUAACUUAAAUGUCCAGUAUACAUUUGAAAAAGACCGCUUAUCAUUCCAAGAACAUUCACACGUUGUGAAUGUAAAAAGGCUGCUCACUGAAAUGGAUGCCAAAAUGAGCCAUCUGCCAAGGACUUGUCGACAGUCAUGAAAAUCUCUUUCAGAAGUAAUUACAAGAAAAAGUGAUUACAAACUUGUUUAAAAUUGAAAAAAAGAUUAAGUUAGCAACGAAAAAGGAAUUGUAAAGCGCCAAAUGGAAAUUAUAGAAUUUAAGAAAACCAGAAUAACACUGUCCAUCUUAGAAGGACAUAGUGGUAGACUGGAGAUGGAGUGCUAGAACUUUCUUAGAUCUGAAAAACAAAGAAAAUAGUACAAAGUGUGAACCUAAGCCAAGUUUGGUAGUACAUGCCUGAAAUUGCAGCACUGAGGAGGCUGAUGCAGAAGGAUGGAAGGUUCUGGGCUAUAUGGUGAGAUCCUGUCUCAAAAUAAAGUAAAAUAAGUUGAAACUCCCUGACUCUCUGAGGUUUGUGGGAUAAUUCAUACUUCAUAAGCAUCCCAGAACAAUAAGGCACAGAAUACACAGAUGCAAGAGGCUGAGUAAGCCCUCAUAUGAUAAAUCUACCAGAAAUUCAUACCAAGGACAGUGUUUAAUUCUGUAGCCCAGACUUACUUGUGACUGGAGAUGUAGAUCAGGCUGGCCUUGAACUCAGAUGUCUGCAUGCUUCUAUCUCCUGAGUGCUGGGAUUUAAGGCACCUGAAUGUAACUGUAUUUUUGAAACAGGUUCUCACACUGUGAACCGCCCUUGUGUUUGAGCCAAUCCCACUCAGUUUCCCAAGUGCUAGGAUUAUGGACGUCAACCAUCACACCUCGCUCUAGACAGCUUGCAAUGAAAGAAAAGGAGAAACCUCGCCUGUCAAAGAGAAAUGACAUGUUGCAGGUAGGGGAGAGGCAGUCUUAAUCAGAUCUGGCUGCUUCUCUGGGGCUACAGGAGCCAGAAGGAAGGACACAGGAUUCUUCAAGCUUGUAAAGAAAACUUAGCCUGUGACCUCUGUUAAGCACAAUAUCAUUCAGGAAUGACAGAGGAAUCAGACAUUCUCAGGAAAAAAGGCAAAGUAAUAGAACAUAUUGCUAACAGAAAUACCUGCAAGGGGUGUUUAAGGGAAGUUCUCUAAGCAUAGUGGAAGCAACCAGGAGAACACUGAUUUACAGACACAUGGGGAGCACGGUGGAAUGACUAAAGAAUAGCAACUGGCCACCUGUGGCAGGUAGAAUUUGACUUGGAUGUUCCCCGGUUUUGUAUGUUGAAGUUUAAUUCCCAUUGUAGGGUUCAAUUCCCAUUGUAGGGUAAAAAGAGGUGGGAUGUUAAUCCAGCUGUGGUGGUUAGAGGUAAAGCCUGGGAGGGUGAUGGGGCUUAGGUAACGUCACCAAAGAAGAGUCCCCGUGACUGAACCCUGAUGGCUCUACGAGAAGAGGUGUGUUAGUUACUUUUCUAUUGCUGUGAUAAAACAACAUGACCAAGGCAAUUUAUAGAAGAAAGUUUAUUCUGGCUUAUGUUUCUAGAAGGUGGAGUCCAUCAUGGUGGGGAGGCAUAGCAACAAGUAACCAGCAUGAUGUCAGGAGCAGGAAGCUGAGAGCUCAUCCUCAACCAUGAUCACAAAGCAGGGAGCAAACUGAAAGUAGGACAGGCUUUUUAGCUCCAGUCUAGCCCCUGGUAACAUACUUUCUCCAGUAAGGCCACCUUUCUAAACUUCCCCAAACACCACCAACUACUAGGGGACCAUAUAUUCAAAUAUCCAAACAUAUUGGGGACAUUUGUUAUUUAUACCAUCAUAUUUCACUUCCUGCUCCACAGGCCUCACGACCACAUAAUGCAAAAUAUAUUUAGUUCAGCCUCAAAAGUCCCAUAGUUUUUCAAAGUUUCAAUCCUUUUUAAAGUCCAAAGCCUCUUCUGAGACUCAAGGCAGUCGUAAAUAGAAAGGCAAAUUAUAUACUUCCAACAUAGUGGCACAGUAGGGAAGUGUUUGGGUCAAAGCAAGGAAAUGCUGGAUCAAAGUAAGACUGACGCUCAGUAGGGCAAGCACCAAAUCCUGUAGCUCCAUGUCUGGUGCCAAAGGACUUAGAUGGCUCUGCCUUCCAGCUUUGCAGCCUGUAGGCUGGUUCCAUUCCCUUUCUGCAUCUCUUCUUUGUCAGGUAGACCAUGACUCUGGCAGCUCCAGCAUUUUAGGAUCUCCAGUAUAGGUUUCACAUUUGCAGCUUUAUCAGACUUCCCACCAGACUUCCCCUGCAAUACUGCCUGGCCUCAAUGAUUGAAACCACAGAGGAAGGAUCUAUGACCUUUCAAUCCUUGAAGAGUCAGCACCUCCUGGAGGACACUGACAAGUUCAGUGACCAGCUUAGGAUGAACCCUGACCCCUUUGAAUCAUAUUUGCGGCUGUUUUUAAAAAAGUGUGCAUGGGUGUUUUUCCUGCAUGUAAACUGUGCACCACAGAUAUGCCCGGUGCCCUAGGAGGACAGAGGAGGGCACUGGGUCCUCUGAAACUUGGAUGGUUGUGAGCCAUGUAGGUACUGGGAAUUGAACCCAGUUUCUCUGGAAGAACAUCCAAUGCUGUUAACCACUGACCCAUCUCUCCAGCCCGUUACUACUUUCUAGGAGCAGAAAAACCUUUUGCUUUCACAGUGUGAAAGCUUAGACGGGUGGGGUCAUCCCUUGAGUUUACCCUUCCCUUUGUUCUUGUGCGGAUCAGUCCCCUCCUGAUAAUGUCUUGUCUGUAACAUUAAGUUUCCUAGUGGUCUUUUUCCAUUCCAAACCAUAUAUUAUGUAUUUCUUUCUACCCCACUCAGAUUUUUUUAUUCUAGGUCUGCAUAAAUGUUACAAUAACAAUCACACUACAGAGCCAGGUGUUGGUGGUGCAUGCCUUUAAUCCCAGCACUCGGGAGGCAGAGGCAGGCAGAUCUCUGUGAGUUCGAGGCCAGCCUGGUCUACAGAGUGAGUUCCAGGACAGCCUUCAAAACAACACAGAGAAACCCUGUCUCAAAAAACCAAAAAUAACAAAAAAAAUCAUACCACAGAUUCAAUGUUGUGCUGUCUUGAAAUGCCCUCUGCCAAAGAAAUCAUUUUAAAUUUAUUCUUGAGCUGGGCCUCUGCAGUCUGCUUUACUCUCAGCACGGCUAUCUUCCAGGUUCCUACUCUACCUGCCCAAACAGUGUCACCAACUGGGGACCAGGUAUUCAAACAUCAGAGCUUAUGGGGGACAUUGUCCCCCACUUGAAUUACCACAAGGCAAACACACAUGGAUAUGUGUGCACUCACAUGAAAACACACACACAGACUGUUCUCAUUUCUGUGACCAAAUACUUGGCAGGGAAACCUUAAGGGGGAAAAGGGUCCAUUUUGGCUCAUGGUUUCAGAGGUUUGGGUCUAUAUGUGCUUUGUCGGUGGACUUAGACCAUUUAUGGCAACAAGGAUAUGUGGUAGAGGAAAGUGCUCACCUUUUGUUGACCAGAAAGCAAAGGCAGGAGAAGGAAGGGUCCAAGGACCCAUGCCCCUAGUGAUCUUCCACCUGAUUCCACAUCCUAGUUUGCAGAACCUCACCAAAUAGUACCAUAACCUGCAGACCAAAUGUUCAUACAGGAGGUUGUGGGAAACAUUGCUUGUCUAAACCAUAACAGAACCACUCUCUGCCUACUAUUGCCAAGUGAAGUCAGUGUAUCUCAGGAAGGCCAUUUGAUACAAUGUCUUGUCUUGUCCUUCAGCUUCCAGAUUCAUAAACCAAGUUAUUUGUUACAGACUUCACUCAAAUGUGUUUUUUGUAACUAGCAACAAACUUACACUCCAUCUUCAUGUAAUUGCUUAAUUGUUUGGUAAUUGCAAAAAUGUCAACACUGGGAUGAUGAAGGGGAUGAGUGGGGAGUAUAAGACCAAUGGAUCUUGAUGAAUUUGAUUGAAAUACACCAUGCAUAUGUAUGAAAUAUAAUGAAAUGUAUAAUAUAUGCUAAUAAAAGAAAAUGUUUAAAUUACAGUGUGUGUGUGUGUGCGCGUGCGCGUGCACACACACACAUACAUGCAAGCACAUAUGGAGGUCAGAGGGCAACUUUCAGGACUUUUCUCAAUGUAUAGUCACACAGAAUGAACUUGGGCCAUCUGGCUUGGCGUUUGGUGCUUUUACCUGCUUAGCCACCUCAAUGGUCCAAAACUGUUUAAAAAUAUUAAACACAGUGUUGUUGUU